AUUGAACGCUGGCGGCAGGCCUAACACAUGCAAGUCGAGCGGCAGCGGGAAAGUAGCUUGCUACUUUUGCCGGCGAGCGGCGGACGGGUGAGUAAUGCCUGGGAAAUUGCCCAGUCGAGGGGGAUAACAGUUGGAAACGACUGCUAAUACCGCAUACGCCCUACGGGGGAAAGCAGGGGACCUUCGGGCCUUGCGCGAUUGGAUAUGCCCAGGUGGGAUUAGCUAGUUGGGGAGGUAAUGGCUCACCAAGGCGACGAUCCCUAGCUGGGCUGAGAGGAUGAUCAGCCACACUGGAACUGAGACACGGUCCAGACUCCUACGGGAGGCAGCAGUGGGGAAUAUUGCACAAUGGGGGAAACCCUGAUGCAGCCAUGCCGCGUGUGUGAAGAAGGCCUUCGGGUUGUAAAGCACUUUCAGCGAGGAGGAAAGGUUGAUGCCUAAUACGUAUCAACUGUGACGUUACUCGCAGAAGAAGCACCGGCUAACUCCGUGCCAGCAGCCGCCGUAA
rnacentral:rRNA from 1 species